GAUGAACGCUGGCGGCGUGCCUAAUACAUGCAAGUCGAGCGAACAGACGAGGAGCUUGCUCCUCUGACGUUAGCGGCGGACGGGUGAGUAACACGUGGAUAACCUACCUAUAAGACUGGGAUAACUUCGGGAAACCGGAGCUAAUACCGGAUAAUAUAUUGAACCGCAUGGUUCAAUAGUGAAAGACGGUUUUGCUGUCACUUAUAGAUGGAUCCGCGCCGCAUUAGCUAGUUGGUAAGGUCACGGCUUACCAAGGCAACGAUGCGUAGCCGACCUGAGAGGCUGAUCGGCCACACGAGAACUGAGACACGGUCAAGACUCCUACGGGAGGCAGCAGUAGGGAAUCUGCCGCAAUGGGCGAAAGCCUGACGGAGCAACGCCGCGUGAGUGAUGAAGGUCUUCGGAUCGUAAAACUCUGUUAUUAGGGAAGAACAAAUGUGUAAGUAACUAUGCACGUCUUGACGGUACCUAAUCAGAAAGCCACGGCUAACUACGUG
rnacentral:rRNA from 1 species